GAAGGAAACUGAUUAGUAAGCAUUGCACCCUCACUUAUGCACUGUGCAUGUGCAGACAUUGCACCACCGCUGAUUCAAGAAUGACAAACCAAGUCGUUUUUUUAUUUUGCUCACACUGGAUCCUACACCAGUGCUCCUUGUUUCAGAACGUUUUAAAAAUAACAGCAUAAAGACUAACCUCUUGUUCUUCCAUAUACUGGUUGUAUCGCUGCUCCAUCAUCUCCCUCUGCCAGCGUUCCUGCUCCAGGGUCUGCUGGAUGAGCUGGGCCACUUCGCUCUGCUCUCCCGGCUUCUCUCGACCGAUCACAAACCUGCAUUUUGAAAAUUAGCAGUCCAGCUUGGUUAGGAUGGAACAACUCUGACAAGGCGCUAAACCCAAAACAUGCAUGAACACUAGCUCAACAAGGACCAAGAAAGUGUUUUUCAUAUAUAAUAGACUACUUUAGUAGGUAUAGUAUUAAUGUUGUAAGGAAUGUGCUGUCUCUCUGAUAACAGAAAAUGGCUUCCUGUUUAGAGUUGAACAAAGGAAGUCUCUAUGGAGUUGGCCUUUGAUUAAAAUCAAACCCUCUAUUCUGCCUCUCCUUUAGCUCAUUGUACAGUUCAUUAUAGAGGCUAUAUGUUUUCUGGUUAAUGCUCACAAAUGUCUGUCCAAUUAAAUGCACUGUGUAAACUGUAAACAGGAAAAAAAAUACAGUAAAUCAUGAUGAACCCAGGCAGUCAUUAAGCCAGCUGCUGCAGCCUUUCAAUUUCUGCAUCACUAACGGAUAAUUAAAUGUUCACAAACACA